rnacentral:rRNA from 1 species
GACGUAGGGCGCGAGCGUUGUCCGGAUUUAUUGGGCGUAAAGAGCUCGUAGGCGGUUUGUUGCGUCGGCCGUGAAAACCUGCAGCUUAACUGUGGGCCUGCGGCCGAUACGGGCAGACUUGAGUUCGGUAGGGGAGACUGGAAUUCCUGGUGUAGCGGUGAAAUGCGCAGAUAUCAGGAGGAACACCGGUGGCGAAGGCGGGUCUCUGGGCCGAUACUGACGCUGAGGAGCGAAAGCGUGGGGAGCGAACAGG